rnacentral:rRNA from 1 species
AUGAACGCUAGCGGCAGGCUUAAUACAUGCAAGUCGAGGGGCAGCACUGGUAGCAAUACUUGGUGGUGACCGGCGGACGGGUGAGUAACACGUAUAUAACUUGCCCUUUACAGGGAAAUAGCCCGGAGAAAUCCGGAUUAAUGUCCCAUAACAUCAGGUGAGGCAUCUUACUUGGUUGAAAGCAUUAGCGGUAAAGGAUAGGUAUGCGUCCCAUUAGCUAGUUGGUGAGGUAGAGGCUCACCAAGGCGAUGAUGGGUAGGGGGCCUGAGAGGGUGAUCCCCCACACUGGUACUGAGACACGGACCAGACUCCUACGGGAGGCAGCAGUAAGGAAUAUUGGUCAAUGGAGGGAACUCUGAACCAGCCAUGCCGCGUGAAGGAUGACAGCCCUAUGGGUUGUAAACUUCUUUUAUAUGGGGAUAAACCUUUCCACGAGUGGAAAGCUGAAGGUACCAUAAGAAUAAGGAUCGGCUAACUCCGUGCCAGCAGCCGCGGUAAUACGGAGGAUCCAAGCGUUAUCCGGAUUUAUUGGGUUUAAAGGGUGCGUAGGUGGAUGAAUAAGUCAGGGGUGAAAGCCCAGCAGCCUAACUGUUGAAUUGCCUUUGAUACUGUUUAUCUUGAGUGUGGUUGAGGUAGGCGGAAUGUGACAUGUAGCGGUGAAAUGCUUAGAUAUGUCACAGAACACCGAUUGCGAAGGCAGCUUGCCAAGCCAUUACUGACACUGAUGCACGAAAGCGUGGGUAGCAAACAGGAUUAGAUACCCUGGUAGUCCACGCCGUAAACGAUGAUGACUCGAUGUUGGCGAUAUAAUGUCAGCGUCCAAGCGAAAGCGUUAAGUCAUCCACCUGGGGAGUACGAUCGCAAGGUUGAAACUCAAAGGAAUUGACGGGGGCCCGCACAAGCGGUGGAGCAUGUGGUUUAAUUCGAUGAUACGCGAGGAACCUUACCUGGGCUUAAAUGGGGAUUGACAGACUGGGAAACCGGUUUUUCUUCGGACAAUCUUCAAGGUGCUGCAUGGUUGUCGUCAGCUCGUGCCGUGAGGUGUUGGGUUAAGUCCCGCAACGAGCGCAACCCCUACUGUUAGUUGCUAGCGGGUCAAGCCGAGGACUCUAACGGAACUGCCUGCGCAAGCAGAGAGGAAGGUGGGGAUGACGUCAAAUCAUCACGGCCCUUACGUCCAGGGCUACACACGUGCUACAAUGGUCAGUACAGAGGGCAGCCACUUGGUAACAAGGCGCAAAUCCCCAAAGCUGAUCUCAGUUCGGAUUGGAGUCUGCAACUCGACUCUAUGAAGCCGGAAUCGCUAGUAAUCGCGCAUCAGCCAUGGCGCGGUGAAUACGUUCCCGGGCCUUGUACACACCGC